AUCGUGAGGAAACCUGCAUACCAGAGAAUUUUCUUAAUUCUCUGCGUGUGUGAAGUCUGCCAAUCCGCAGGCCAGCGUGGUGGACUAUCUAACCACUCUCAUUCUGAGAGGAGACUCGAGCUCAGCAGCUAAUAUGGGUUGAAUGAAUCCUGUGUACCAACUCCAGAUUCAAACUGAAUACUACAUGGUUUAUAGCCGCACAGAGCCAAAGAGCGAAGUUUUAUUGGGGCAACGUCAAUAAAAUCAACGCUUCUCCAGCAGUACCCCGGUCCCGGCUUUGUUAGUUGCAGUCGCUAGUUGUGAAUCAACGUCCAUUGGGCGCGCAAGCGGUGCCCUAUAUUCGCGCGUUAUAAUUUCUGUGGCCGUCUAAUAAACUAAACACCCAAAUCAACGAACUGAAAAUUUCAAAACCAAAAGUUUUCAAAUCUAUCGACCAGUGUUCCAGUUUUAGUGAGACUAACGAAAAACUUUUUUU